GUCUUAGCCUAGUGGUAGAGUGUGUGUCUCUCAUGUGGAAGAGGUGGUGGGUUCGAAUCCCCCACCAGACC
rnacentral:tRNA from 1 species